CCUACGGGGGGCAGCAGUGGGGAAUAUUGGACAAUGGGGGCAACCCUGAUCCAGCCAUGCCGCGUGUGUGAAGAAGGCCCUCGGGUUGUAAAGCACUUUCAGUGAGGAAGAACGCCUGGUGGUUAAUACCCAUCAGGAAAGACAUCACUCACAGAAGAAGCACCGGCUAACUCCGUGCCAGCAGCCGCGGUAAUACGGAGGGUGCGAGCGUUAAUCGGAAUUACUGGGCGUAAAGCGCGCGUAGGUGGCUUGAUAAGCCGGUUGUGAAAGCCCCGGGCUCAACCUGGGAACGGCAUCCGGAACUGUCAAGCUAGAGUGCAGGAGAGGAAGGUAGAAUUCCCGGUGUAGCGGUGAAAUGCGUAGAGAUCGGGAGGAAUACCAGUGGCGAAGGCGGCCUUCUGGACUGACACUGACACUGAGGUGCGAAAGCGUGGGUAGCAAACAGGAUUAGAUACCCUGGUGGUC
rnacentral:rRNA from 1 species